rnacentral:rRNA from 1 species
ACUUGCCUACGGGGGGCAGCAGUGAGGAAUAUUGGUCAAUGGGCGAGAGCCUGAACCAGCCAAGUCGCGUGAGGGAGUACUGCCCUAUGGGUUGUAAACCUCUUUUGUCGGGGAGCAAAAGCCGGACGUGUCCAGCUGUGAGAGUACCCGAAGAAAAAGCAUCGGCUAACUCCGUGCCAGCAGCCGCGGUAAUACGGAGGAUGCGAGCGUUAUCCGGAUUUAUUGGGUUUAAAGGGUGCGCAGGCGGCGAGUUAAGUCAGCGGUAAAAUUUCGGGGCUCAGCCCCGACGAGCCGUUGAAAAUGGC